rnacentral:misc_RNA from 1 species
GUGAAUCAUCGAAUCUUUGAACGCAAAUUGCGCUUCCUAGCAUCCCGGGAAGUAUGCCUGUUUGAGGGUCAUUAUUAACAAAAAAAUCGGUUUGGUUGCAAAUUGUGACGUUUCCGGAGUUUGGGAUAUCGUUACUUGUUUGGGUAAGGGGCUUAAAAUGGACUUUUUUUGCACAUUUUUAGACGUACAUAAAUUUGUUUUAUUCGUCUAUUCUUAAUGCCAAAAUCUUAUUAGAGGCGAUCUCAUCAUGUGGCUUGGUAU